rnacentral:rRNA from 1 species
CACGUAGGGGGCAAGCGUUGUCCGGAUUCAUUGGGCGUAAAGAGCUCGUAGGCGGCUUGACAAGUCGGGUGUGAAACCUCCAGGCUCAACCUGGAGACGCCACUCGAGACUGUCAUGGCUAGAGUCCGGUAGGGGACCACGGAAUUCCUGGUGUAGCGGUGAAAUGCGUAGAUAUCGGGAGGAACACCAGAGGCGAAGGCGGGCUACUGGGCCGAUACUGACGCUGAUGCGCGAAAGCCAGGGGAGCAAACGGG